rnacentral:lncRNA from 1 species
UGAAUGACCAUCAUGACACCUUUUUUGAAUUGGUCAAAGUGUUGGUAACAAAGAACCUUGAAAGAGUUUAGAGGUAAAUAUCUGGAGAGCCUAAAAAAAUAAAGACACGCCUAGAAUAGGCAUGUCAAAAUUACUCAAUACAAUCCUUACAAUUUCUUCUUCUCCCAGCUGAGUUGUAGACUCUAGUGAUUUUUUAUAGAAUCGA